AGAGACAGAUUCAAAGUGACUUUGACCAAUCCUUUCAUUGAAUUCAGCUGGGACUUGAAACCUGUUCUCGUGAUGUCAAGCCCGGGAUUCUUCUUGGAAACGUUGAGCUUUUUUGUGACACCUGUACCGCUUCCUGUGAUGAGGGAAAGAAUGUUCCAAGGACAAAAGCAACUCAGCACUGGAUGACACGACCACCUUUUGGGGCAUGGAGGUCAGCGUAGAGGUGAUCACCCUGGGACAACAACCCCUCCCUUGCCAAAUGGUAGAUUGAUGAAAUGUCUGAAAAGCAUCUCUGAUCGUGAGGAUCCAGAGACUAAUCAUGAGGGCCCAGUGACGUCAGAGCUGGAGAGGAGGGCUGUGUCAGGCUCAACCCUGCAGCCUCUGGCCAGAGGUAGUCUGGGAAUAGAUUCUGAAUCCAAGGAACUGAGAACACACAAGGAGAGUUUGCAAUCUACCAAAGAAUAAAAGGCACCAUAUUUGUGAAACGUCAACUUAGGAUAGCUGCCAGGCUGGGCAACCUCACAAAGUGAAAAGACAUUCAUCCUAG
rnacentral:lncRNA from 1 species